rnacentral:ncRNA from 1 species
UAAAAAGUAAUGACGGGGAAAAGUAGGCAGGAAACCUCCUUCCAGGGAGAAAGCGCCGUUGGCUGUGAGCGUUUUCAGGUUAGGACCGGUUGAAGUUCGCCCCCGAGCUUUGAGGCUGAAACCAGGAUGCAAUCCUGAAGCCGGAUAGCGGGAAAGUAGGCCGAAACGGAUUUCCUCCGUUACAGGGAAGGGGUAUGGGUUAAUAACUUCCUGUGCCUUUCGAAAGAGCUGGGCCCUUCCCGGGGUCAAGUAGGGUGGUACCGCGAGCCGUCGUCCCUAUG